rnacentral:rRNA from 1 species
CGAACGGGUGAGUAACACGUGAACAAUCUGCCCCUGACUCUGGGAUAAGCGCUGGAAACGGCGUCUAAUACUGGAUACGAACCGUGGAGGCAUCUUCAACGGUUGGAAAGAUUUUUGGUCAGGGAUGAGCUCGCGGCCUAUCAGCUUGUUGGUGAGGUAAUGGCUCACCAAGGCGUCGACGGGUAGCCGGCCUGAGAGGGUGACCGGCCACACUGGGACUGAGACACGGCCCAGACUCCUACGGGAGGCAGCAGCA